UCUACUCAUAAGUAACAGGGGCAAAUUCACAUUUGCAACUUGAGACAAGUCUUGCAUAUUUUUACUGUUUCACUCACAAUUGCACUUGUAAUG